rnacentral:snRNA from 16 species
AUACUUACCUUGAUUGACUGCGCGGAGAUCAAGAAAACCGCGUAGUACGGUGGAGAGCCUGCAUUGCACAUCGUGGUGCUAUCCGCCGUGAAUUGUCCUUCGGGGCCGUUCCGGUCGUAAUUUUUGAUUUCAAAUCAUUCCAUUGCGAAUCCCUUUU